GUGACGCGGCGGAACUGCGUGUUUCUAUGGAAACGGGGAGCGGGUGGGUAGCCUGAGGGAGUUCCACUCCUGAGGUUCCCCAAAGCGCUUGUUUUUCAUGACCUUGCUUUGGUUAUGCUUCCUAGUACUUAAUCAAAGGUAUGGAAACGGACCUUAGAGAAGACAAGUGUGUUGUUCAGUCAUCUGCUGGAACGGUUUACUGCUACAAGACUUAAGUACCCACCUUGUAAUGUCAGACAAUGGAGGCGACCAAAGGAGGCAGAUUUAAAAAGGCCACUGAAGGAGAUUUUGAGGCUCAAUCCCUGGAGGAACUCCAUCAGACCCGCAGAGUGGACAGGAGGAUAGUUGGAGGAGAAACCACAUGGGAGCUUGACCAGACUGGAAUUUUGGGAGGCUUAAGGCAGGAAGGGGAGGGUUUGGGACAGAAAAAGAAAAAAAAAAGUGGUUUUAGAGUCCCUUGUCCCUUUGGAGUUGGUCGGUUGAGGAACUAGCUGAGAUCCAGGAUUGGUCAGGAGACCCUGCUGAUUGACAGACUUCCGUGGGCGGGCACUUGAUUGAUGUUUCUUUAGCCUGCAUGGGCUGCUUAGUGCUUUCUUCCUAAGUCACCACCACUGACCUGACACACCUCAAUAGUCCUGAUGACUAAAAUACUGAACAUUUGAUAUUUUCAAAACCUAGGCUCUCAGUUCUGUGACCUUCUUGCUUACACUGACCUUUUCCUGUAUGCUCUUUCUGCCACUCUGUCCUAUGCUCUCUUUAGCUUGUCAAAGACACUCACCACACCACUAAGUACUGCUUCCUGCCUUUUCAAUUCACAUCAUCCAUUUCCUGUUCAAAUGACCUUUGGACCAUCAACACCUUCAUAUCAAGAGCUUUUUACUUUUCUUUCUUUCUUUCUUUUUUUUUUUGUUUUGUUACCAGGGAUUCAACUCAGGGGCACUUGACCAAUGAUCCACAUCCCCAGUCCUAUUUUGUAUUUUACUUAGAGAUAGGACCUCACUCAGUUGCUUAGCAUCUUGCCUUUGCUGAGGCUGGCUUUGAUCCUCCUGCCUUAGCCUCCUCCCAAGCCGCUGGGAUUAGAGGCAUAUGUCACUGGACUCUACUAUCAAGAGCUUUUUAUCUCUCUUUCCCUCUUUCUCCCAAAUUUUGAUUUCUUAAAUUUUGUGAUCUUCAUUUAAAUCCCUUCUUUGCAUACAUCCUCAAUUCCCUUGCCCUUCUACUGUUUGAUCAUAUUCAGUAAAAUCACAAUUACAGUUAAAUCAAACCCUUUCACAAAUCUUUGAGUUGUGGUAAAAGAAAAGUACCUAAAUGGACUUAAUUGAGCUCAUGUUCUAUUCAUGGUCACUAGACACACAUUGGCCUUUAAUGUGACCAAGAUUAUUGUAGUUCUUCCCUAAACUUUAUAAAGCUGUUUUUACACAAAGAUCAAGGCACAUUAGAAAUGACAUAUAUCUUAGACAUCCAAAAAGGAGAUUUCAGACAUCUCCAAAAGGAGAAUUCAGAGACUAAGAAGUAUUUUCAGACUAGAAAUUGAAAGAAACACCUUAAGAAAGGAAGUUAUUUAUUUUAAUUACACCUGGAAGAUAUAGUUUGGUGAUCAACAUGUUGUGAUACACCUAUAGAAUCUACUGUGUCUACCGAGAACUCUAGUAAUUUAGAAUUGAAGUAAGAUACAGACAAAUUGGAAAGAGUAACAUAAAAUCAAAGUCAAGGACAGGGUUGAACAACAUAACUAAUCAUUACCUGAAAGGGAAAAGGCAAAUUUUAGUUAAAUCCUCAUGAAUGCAUGCAAGAGUAAUUUAAAGAGGUUUGAAAGCAUACUUGGAACAAAACAACACAUUUAAACCAUUUGCUUAUGAAAACUGUAAUAUGUAACAGUUACACAGAGAAAGAAAAUGGUCUAAUUCUGACAUUGUCUUUUUUAUUAAGAAUAGUGAUGUUAAGUUUAAAAGGUGUAAAACAACAAUGAUUAAAAUAGAUACGAAGUCUAAAAUACACAAAAGAAGGUUCAAUUUUAAUUUGGGUGGGGAAUAAGGGCAAUGUUCUACUGAGAAGAGAUAAUUUAACUAUAGUGAUUGGGGGGAAAAUUUUUUGCCUAAGUUGAAAAUUUGUACUAUGGAGAGACCUAGAAGAGAAAGACUAAUAAAGGGAUUAAUACCA